GGUUGUAGCUGGUCUCUCGGGGCAUGUGCACACCUGGCUCAUCCACUCUUCAACCACUGUGCACUUAUUGUAGGUCGGCAGAAGGGCGAGUCUAACAGCUCGCUCGGAAGCCUUCCUAUGUUUUAUUACAAACGCUUCAGUUUAAGAAUGUAAACCUGCGUAUAACGCAACUAUAUACAACUUUCAGCAACGGAUCUCUUGGCUCUCGCAUCGAUGAAGAACGCAGCGAAAUGCGAUAAGUAAUGUGAAUUGCAGAAUUCAGUGAAUCAUCGAAUCUUUGAACGCACCUUGCGCUCCCUGGUAUUCCGGGGAGCAUGCCUGUUUGAGUGUCAUGGUAUUCUCAUCCUUCAUAACUUUUGUUAUCGAAGGCAUGGACUUGGAGGUCGUGCUGGUUCCUUGUUGAAUCGGCUCCUCUUAAAUACAUUAGCGUGAGUGUAACGGAUCGCUUCGGUGUGAUAAUUAUCUGCGCCGUAGUCGUGAAGUAACAUAAGCUUGCGCUUCUAACCGUCCUUAAGUUGGACAACUUACUUUGACAUCUGACCUCAAAUCAGGUAGGACUACCCGCUGAACUUAAGCAUAUCAAUA
rnacentral:rRNA from 1 species